rnacentral:rRNA from 1 species
UUAAAUGGCUGCAGUAUUUUGACUGUACUAAGGUAGCAUAAUCAUUAGUUUUUUAAUUGAAAGCUAGAAUGAAGGGUUGGAUGAAAAAUUAUCUUUCUAAUUUAAAUUUAAUUAGAAUUUUAUUUUUAAGUAAAAAAGCUUAAAUUAAGUUAAAAGACGAGAAGACCCUAUAGAGUUUUAUAAACUAAUAAAAUUUAAUAUAAAUUUUUUAAUUUAUUUAAUUGGGGCGAUUAAAAAAUUUAAAUAACUUUUUUUUAUUAUUAUAUUAAUUAAUAAUUAUUUGAUCCAAAUAUUUUGAUUAUAAGAUUAAAUUACCUUAGGGAUAACAGCGUUAUAUUACUUUAGAGUU